rnacentral:lncRNA from 1 species
CUACAUCUGGGAUAAAUCAAGGGAUUGGAAUAUCCUCCUGGCUGCAUGGAUCAUCUCCACAACCCAAACACUGAGCUGGACGGCCAGCAAUGCAUCCACCUCCUGGCUAUGACCCCAGGGAUGAGCAGAUGCAGACCCGAAGACAAACCAAGUCUCCAAUUGUCCCAGUACUUGUUUAUGUGCAGGCCUAAGUGACCACACACACUCAAAUGGACCUACAGCUGGGACACAUGAUGACCACAAUUUCAACGCUGCAACCGAGAUGGAAUGACAUCGAGGGACACACGCUGAGACCCUGAGUAUGACUGGACAUGGGCUAGGGUAUUUGUA